rnacentral:misc_RNA from 1 species
ACGUGCCCGCGGGGCGGUCCGGUUCCGAGACAUCGGGAUCGGCUCCGUACCGUAUCCGGCCCCCACCCGUGUCUACCUUGACCAUGUUGCCUUGGCGGGCCCGUCCGGCUUCACCGCCGACAGCCGGGGGUCUAGCAGCCCCUGGCCAGCGCCCGCCGAUGGCCCCCAAUUGAACUCUGAACUGAAAGUGAUUGAACGUCUGAGUCCCAUUGAAGAAUAAGCA